AGAGAGAGAGAGAGAGAGGAAAUGAAGAGCAGAGGGGAGGUUGAGGUGGGAGUGGAGUUGGGGGAGGUGGGUAAGUGCAGGAAUGGGAAAUGGUUUUGGCGUUGUCGAAGAGAACAGAGGAUGCUCUUUGCUUUUCUAUGUUUAAUUGACGAGUUUGUCCACGCUUGUGUUUGGAUUAUUUUAUUCCUAUUUCAGUGUGGUUUGUCUUGUGGGAAAAUACUACACCCUGAUUAGGCAACACGCGCUCUAUAAUUGUUAAUUUGUUUUGUUUGCUUUCUUUCCACUAAGGCAAAAGCUAUGGGAAGAAUACUGACAAAUAAUUAA
rnacentral:misc_RNA from 1 species